rnacentral:rRNA from 1 species
CCUACGGGAGGCAGCAGUGGGGAAUUUUGGACAAUGGGCGCAAGCCUGAUCCAGCAAUGCCGCGUGAGUGAAGAAGGCCUUCGGGUUGUAAAGCUCUUUUGUCAGGGAAGAAACGGUGGAGGUUAAUACCUUCUGCUAAUGACGGUACCUGAAGAAUAAGCACCGGCUAACUACGUGCCAGCAGCCGCGGUAAUACGUAGGGUGCAAGCGUUAAUCGGAAUUACUGGGCGUAAAGCGUGCGCAGGCGGUUGUGCAAGACAGAUGUGAAAUCCCCGGGCUCAACCUGGGAAUUGCAUUUGUGACUGUACGGCUAGAGUGUGUCAGAGGGGGGUAGAAUUCCACGUGUAGCAGUGAAAUGCGUAGAGAUGUGGAGGAAUACCGAUGGCGAAGGCAGCCCCCUGGGAUAACACUGACGCUCAUGCACGAAAGCGUGGGGAGCAAACAGGAUUAGAUACCCUGGUAGUCCACGCCCUAAACGAUGUCUACUGUUGUCGGUCUUNUUNUACUGUACGCAGCGUACGCGNGAGUAGACCGCCGNGGGUAAGGUACGGUCGCGAGUAAGUUAAACGUUAAAGGUAAGUUAGACGGCGUGAGACGNGCCGACGGACGACGACGAGGGAGGAGG